rnacentral:lncRNA from 1 species
AAAUGAGGAAAAUCCAGUUUUUAUAGAAGAUAUAAACACGAAAUUGAUGGAAAAUUCUUUAGAUGGCUGUAAUAAUGUUAUUGACUUUACACCACAACUUUCAACCCUUUUCACAGCAACCAGUUCAUUUCACACAGGCGAUUCUCAAACUAACAAUACACACACAUCAGAUUGUGAUAUUGACUUUAGAUGUCAUCUUUCAAA